rnacentral:rRNA from 1 species
UACAGAGGUCCCAAGCGUUGUUCGGAUUCACUGGGCGUAAAGGGCGCGUAGGCGGGCUCACAAGUCCGGGGUGAAAGCCCCCAGCUCAACUGGGGAAGCGCCUUGGAUACUGUGGGCCUCGAGGGAGGUAGGGGCGUGCGGAACUUCCGGUGGAGCGGUGAAAUGCGUAGAUAUCGGAAGGAACACCGGUGGCGAAAGCGGCGCGCUGGACCUCUUCUGACGCUGAGGCGCGAAAGCCAGGGGAGCAAACGGG